CGUAGGUGGCAAGCGUUGUCCGGAUUUAUUGGGUUUAAAGGGUGCGUAGGCGGUUAUAUAAGUCAGUGCUGAAAUAUCCCGGCUUAACCGGGAGGGCGGCAUUGAUACUGUAUGACUUGAGUAAAGUUGAGGUUGGCGGAAUUGACGGUGUAGCGGUGAAAUGCUUAGAUAUCGUCAAGAACACCGAUUGCGAAGGCAGCUAACUAAGCUUUAACUGACGCUGAGGCACGAAAGUGUGGGGAUCAAACAGGAUUAGAUACCCUGGUAGUCCACACUGUAAACGUUGAUUACUCGCUGUUGGCGAUACACAGCCAGCGGCUAAGCGCAAGCGAUAAGUAAUCCACCUGGGGAGUACGCCGGCAACGGUG
rnacentral:rRNA from 1 species